UAGAUUGAAGCCAGAAAUAAAGUGUUUAGUUGUUAACUAAAUUUUUGUAGGUUUAACUCCUGCCAAUCUAG
ensembl:Mt_tRNA